CAGUAGCCGCGGGAAUACAGAGGGUGCGAGCGUUAAUCGGAUUUACUGGGCGUAAAGCGUGCGUAGGCGGCUUCUUAAGUCGGAUGUGAAAUCCCUGAGCUUAACUUAGGAAUUGCAUUCGAUACUGGGAAGCUAGAGUAUGGGAGAGGAUGGUAGAAUUCCAGGUGUAGCGGUGAAAUGCGUAGAGAUCUGGAGGAAUACCGAUGGCGAAGGCAGCCAUCUGGCCUAAUACUGACGCUGAGGUACAAAAGCAUGGGGAGCAAACAGGAUUAGAUACCCCCGUAGUCCCUGUCUCUUAUAA
rnacentral:rRNA from 1 species